rnacentral:lncRNA from 1 species
CUCUACAAGAAUGCAGUAUUGUUUUUGGUUUGCUGUUUUUCUAGAUAGAGGCAGAUUCAGAAGAAUAUAGUUCAAGAAAAAAAAUUUAAGAACUCAUAAAGGAGAAGGAGGAGGAGGAAGAGAGUGUGAAACAGGAGCCUCAGAUAACUUGGUAAAGGCAUGUCUCCCAUUUGGGAACUGAUGUUCCUAAGAUCCGCACUGACGCUGCUCAGCCGGUCCAUCACACAGCAAAGGCGUGAGGAAGGGUCACUGCCCAGCUGGACUCCAGGGUGGUCCACGCAUGAC